CCUACGGGAGGCUGCAGUGAGGAAUAUUGGUCAAUGGACGAGAGUCUGAACCAGCCAAGUAGCGUGAAGGAUGACUGCCCUGUGGGUUGUAAACUUCUUUUAUAAAGGAAUAAAACGAGGCACGUGUGCCUUUUUGCGUGUACUUUAUGAAUAAGGAUCGGCUAACUCCGUGCCAGCAGCCGCGGUAAUACGGAGGAUCCGAGCGUUAUCCGGAUUUAUUGGGUUUAAAGGGAGCGUAGAGGGGUUGUUAAGUCAGUUGAGAAAGUCUGCGGCUCAACCGUAAAAUUGCAAUUGAUACUGGCAGUCUCGAGUACAGUUGAGGUAGGCGGAAUUCGUGGUGUAGCGGUGAAAUGCAUAGAUAUCACGCAGAACCCCGAUUGCGAAGGCAGCCUUCCGGCGCCCUACUGACGCUGAGGCACGAAAGUGCGGGGAUCGAACAGGAUUAGAUACCCCGGUAGUC
rnacentral:rRNA from 1 species